rnacentral:tRNA from 1 species
GAAAACACAGGUGAACAGGUAAAAACACUAUAUGAACUGACUUGUAAUCAGUAGGUCCUCAGUUCGAUUCCGAGUGCCGGCACCA